rnacentral:lncRNA from 1 species
AGGAGGAUGCUGGCACUUCAGCAGAGCCUACAGCUCCGGGGGAAUGUUCUAGUGCCAACGUGCCUGAACCCCCGGUGGCCGUGGACAAUGACUUCAAGUGCAUGGGCUGCUGCCAGAUCUUCCCCAGCUUAGAGGUCCUUCAGAAGCAUGUGGAGCACGGGAUUGAGCAGGGCUUUAGCUGCCAUGCUUUCCAUCUUGCCAUGGCUUUCCUACAGAGCAAGAAGAACAAGAAAAAGAAGAAGAAGAAGAUCAAGAAGACAACAUCUACAUUCCAGUAAGAAAAAUAUUUUAGCACGAAAACCACGUUGUGCAAGUAAACAGAUUUUUUUUUUUUUCCCCAGCCCCGAAAAGGGAGGAAGUAAAGCAGGCCAGACUCUACUGAGAGGGCUUCACCUUUGCCAUCCAGGCAUAGUACCUGCCUUUGUUUAUGCAUAUCUCCACCCCCACCACUACCACCACACCCCUAGUAGGAGCAGAGACUCACUUUUAACACUAUCUACUGCUGUCCUGAGAAGGAGGGAGAAGAAGGCUGAUCAUACCACGCAGAAGAGCACGAUUUCCUCACAUAAACUAAAGAACAGUGAACACCAGUUUAUCAUCUCCAGCACCACAACUGAGGAAAGGAGACUCAUUUCAAGAGGAAACUGCUGUGGGCCAGACUGCACAAGAGGUGAUUUGAGUUGUGAUUCUUAGCACUUGCACCUGAAGACAAACUACAACUCCUGUGACAGCUGGCUGGUAAUCUCCGAGUUCACAAUGUUUGCAGUCUGCUUUAAUUUUGAAAAGGUCAGAAAAUGAACCUUCUAAACUUGGAAGGUUUAGAUCAUCUCACAAAAUGGUGGAGUCUUUCUAAAAUAUUAUAGGUAUUUUUACCGUACUGUACGCGAUUUUUCGAAGUCAAAAAUUCCUUGAAGCCAAAGACACUGUCCUUUCCAGCUCUUUGUAAAGUGCUCAAAAGCACCAGUUAGCAAUUAAAUUUAUAUUUUAUUUUUAGUACUAGAUUAUAAAAAAGUAUUUGUCCUAUGUGAUGUGGUUACAUGGGAUGUUCUAGACCCUUCCUGAUCACCCCCCAAAACAGACAAGCAAGAUAGAAAUUUCUCUUCCACAUCUUAAUACAAAGUAUUUUUUUAAAUACUGACUGUGAACCAAAUAUAUUUAAAAUACUCUAGAAUCUGUUCCAUUAUUUUUAGGUAACCUAUAUCCUUAAGUUUUGAUAUAUUAAUUUUAUUAUUAUUUGUCCUACAAAUGAACAAUAUGAAAUUAAUAAUCUUGCCAGUGUUCCUCUGUCAAAACACUGGACUCAUCUCAGAGAACUGAAACAGUGUUCUCAUCUUCAUUCUGGCAGCUGUGUAGAGUAUGAAGCUGGUGUCGAUGCUUUUCUUUAGAAUUAGGGACAGUAUUUCAGGUCAAAUUAAUUCUUUACAAUAAACUGAGAAUUUGCGAUUAUGUUAUAGAAAAA